CCCCGAGGGUUCGCGUGAGCGGAGCACGGGGCUCGGGGUGCGGGGGGCUGGUGUGAUGGACGCAUUUGUUCUUCGGUCCCUGACGAUUGUUUCUCAUUUGCCCUCCAAGCCCCAAAUCCUGUCAGUCCACGGCCUUGAUGGAGCGGCCCCCGUGGGACGACCCUGUUGAUUGUGCUAGCGGAUGUUGUCUCCAUUCUGGAUCUGGGAAAAACUGUGGAGUGAAAGCCGGACCUGUUAGGGUUGGGACCUGAAAGCGGACUUUUUCGCUCUCAGACGGGCCCCAGGAAUUUCAUGUUUAACAGAGGUGUCUUCAAGGAGAUGAAACAAUUCAGAAUGACCUAGGCAAUGGGGUAAUUCCUAAGACCCCACCACCGUGCCCUGAGGAAGCCCAAACAACCCAUGGAGACAUCCGCAUGGAGAGACC
rnacentral:lncRNA from 1 species